rnacentral:rRNA from 1 species
UACGAAGGGGCUAGCGUUGCUCGGAAUCACUGGGCGUAAAGGGUGCGUAGGCGGGUCUUUAAGUCAGGGUGAAUCCUGGAGCUCAACUCCAGAACUGCCUUGAUACUGAAGAUCUUGAGUUCGGGAGAGGUGAGUGGAACUGCGAGUGUAGAGGUGAAAUUCGUAGAUAUUCGCAAGAACACCAGUGGCGAAGGCGGCUCACUGGCCCGAUACUGACGCUGAGGCACGGAAAGCGUGG